UACCAGCACCCCGAGUGGUCGGGACGUUAUUGGGCCUAAAGCAUCCGUAGCCGGUUCUACAAGUCUUCCGUUAAAUCCACCUGCUUAACAGAUGGGCUGCGGAAGAUACUAUAGAGCUAGGAGGCGGGAGAGGCAAGCGGUACUCGAUGGGUAGGGGUAAAAUCCGUUGAUCCAUUGAAGACCACCAGUGGCGAAGGCGGCUUGCCAGAACGCGCUCGACGGUGAGGGAUGAAAGCUGGGGGAGCAAACCGGG
rnacentral:rRNA from 1 species